rnacentral:lncRNA from 1 species
UUCUUUCCCCCCGAAAUAUUUUUUCGGGAGGGGGAAGAAGAAGAUGGCGCGUACGCAUUCGAAGUCAAGCGAGUCACAUUCAAGAGGUACUCUCGAUCGCUGCGUGCUUGCUUCUUGCGCAAGGAUUUCCCUUGCGUUUUCUUCCUGCGCAAGAAUUUCUCUUCUUCCUUGCGCUUUCUUCUUGCGAGAUUUGAGAGAAUUGCUCUACGAUUUUAGCCAGCUCUUCAGCCAAAGCAUCCUGUUUUAUUCUUUCAUCUCUCCACUCUUUGCGUGUAUCAGAUGUUCGAAUAGUUUGGAAGAGAACAAAGCUGUGACUUUUCUUUGUUCUUUUUGUUGUUCUUCUUUUCCUCUCUGUGUGUUUGAUUCGAACUUUACCACUACAAAACUUGUCGUGACGAGAUCAAACUAUGUACAGUUUCCUAAGGAGAUCUUGCUGCCGAAUCCAAACAGAAGAAUCGAUCCUAUCCAAGGCACUUGUGACUUUGACGUGGUACUUACGAACUCUCCUCUCGUGCUCUCACGGGUGCGGAAUUC